rnacentral:rRNA from 1 species
GUCUGUUUGGAGAUAUAAAAAGUCUAGCCUGCUCUCUGAUUAGUUUAAGGGCCGCGGUAUUAUGACCGUGCAAAGGUAGCAUAAUAGUUAGUUUUUUAAUUGAAAUCUUGUAUGAAUGGUUGGACAAAAGAAAUACUGUCUCUAAAAUUUUUAUUGAAUUUAACUUUUAAGUGAGAAGGCUUAAAUAUUUUAGAAAGACGAUAAGACCCUAUAAAGCUUUAUAAGUGAAAUAUAUUUGGUUAAAUUAUUUAUAAAAAUUUAAUAUGUUGUUUAUUUUGUUGGGGAGACAAUAUUAUAAUUAGAAUAACUGAAAAUAAAUGAAACAAAUAUCUAUGUAUUAAUGAUGUAAACGAUCCUAUUUAAAGAUUAAAAGUUUAAGUUACUUUAGGGAUAACAGCGUUAUUUUUUUUGAGAGUUCCUAUCGAAAAAAAAGAUUGCGACCUCGAUGUUGAAUUAAAAUUUCUAAGUGGUUGUAGAAGUUACUUAAGAAGGUCUGUUCGACCUUUAAAAUUUUACAUGAUUUGAGUUCAGACCGGCGUGAGCCAGGUCGGUUUCUAUCUUCUAAGAAUUUAUGAGUUACUUUAGUACGAAAGGAUUAAGUAGCUGAAUUUUUUUCUAUAAUGGUAA